UACGUAGGUGGCAAGCGUUGUCCGGAUUUACUGGGCGUAAAGGAUGCGUAGGCGGACAUUUAAGUCAGAUGUGAAAUACCCGAGCUUAACGUGGGUGCUGCAUUUGAAACUGGGUGUCUAGAGUGCAGGAGAGGUAAGUGGAAUUCCUAGUGUAGCGGUGAAAUGCGUAGAGAUUAGGAAGAACACCAGUGGCGAAGGCGACUUACUGGACUGUAACUGACGCUGAGGCAUGAAAGCGUGGGGAGCAAACAGG
rnacentral:rRNA from 1 species